GAUUAAGUUAUUAAGGGCGCACGGUGGAUGCCUUGGCACUAGAAGCCGAUGAAGGACGUUACUAACGACGAUAUGCUUUGGGGAGCUGUAAGUAAGCUUUGAUCCAGAGAUUUCCGAAUGGGGAAACCCAGCAUGAGUUAUGUCAUGUUAUCGAUAUGUGAAUACAUAGCAUAUCAGAAGGCACACCCGGAGAACUGAAACAUCUUAGUACCCGGAGGAAGAGAAAGAAAAUUCGAUUCCCUUAGUAGCGGCGAGCGAAACGGGAAGAGCCCAAACCAACAAGCUUGCUUGUUGGGGUUGUAGGACACUCUAUACGGAGUUACAAAGGACGACAUUAGACGAAUCAUCUGGAAAGAUGAAUCAAAGAAGGUAAUAAUCCUGUAGUCGAAAAUGUUGUCUCUCUUGAGUGGAUCCUGAGUACGACGGAGCACGUGAAAUUCCGUCGGAAUCUGGGAGGACCAUCUCCUAAGGCUAAAUACUCUCUAGUGACCGAUAGUGAACCAGUACCGUGAGGGAAAGGUGAAAAGCACCCCGGAAGGGGAGUGAAAUAGAACCUGAAACCGUGUGCUUACAAGUAGUCAGAGCCCGUUAAUGGGUGAUGGCGUGCCUUUUGUAGAAUGAACCGGCGAGUUACGAUUUGAUGCAAGGUUAAGCAGUAAAUGUGGAGCCGUAGCGAAAGCGAGUCUGAAUAGGGCGUUUAGUAUUUGGUCGUAGACCCGAAACCAGGUGAUCUACCCUUGGUCAGGUUGAAGUUCAGGUAACACUGAAUGGAGGACCGAACCGACUUACGUUGAAAAGUGAGCGGAUGAACUGAGGGUAGCGGAGAAAUUCCAAUCGAACCUGGAGAUAGCUGGUUCUCUCCGAAAUAGCUUUAGGGCUAGCCUCAAGUGAUGAUUAUUGGAGGUAGAGCACUGUUUGGACGAGGGGCCCCUCUCGGGUUACCGAAUUCAGACAAACUCCGAAUGCCAAUUAAUUUGACUUGGGAGUCAGAACAUGGGUGAUAAGGUCCGUGUUCGAAAGGGAAACAGCCCAGACCACCAGCUAAGGUCCCAAAAUAUAUGUUAAGUGGAAAAGGAUGUGGCGUUGCCCAGACAACUAGGAUGUUGGCUUAGAAGCAGCCAUCAUUUAAAGAGUGCGUAAUAGCUCACUAGUCGAGUGACACUGCGCCGAAAAUGUACCGGGGCUAAACAUAUUACCGAAGCUGUGGAUUGUCCUUUGGACAAUGGUAGGAGAGCGUUCUAAGGGCGUUGAAGCAUGAUCGUAAGGACAUGUGGAGCGCUUAGAAGUGAGAAUGCCGGUGUGAGUAGCGAAAGACGGGUGAGAAUCCCGUCCACCGAUUGACUAAGGUUUCCAGAGGAAGGCUCGUCCGCUCUGGGUUAGUCGGGUCCUAAGCUGAGGCCGACAGGCGUAGGCGAUGGAUAACAGGUUGAUAUUCCUGUACCACCUAUAAUCGUUUUAAUCGAUGGGGGGACGCAGUAGGAUAGGCGAAGCGUGCGAUUGGAUUGCACGUCUAAGCAGUAAGGCUGAGUAUUAGGCAAAUCCGGUACUCGUUAAGGCUGAGCUGUGAUGGGGAGAAGACAUUGUGUCUUCGAGUCGUUGAUUUCACACUGCCGAGAAAAGCCUCUAGAUAGAAAAUAGGUGCCCGUACCGCAAACCGACACAGGUAGUCAAGAUGAGAAUUCUAAGGUGAGCGAGCGAACUCUCGUUAAGGAACUCGGCAAAAUGACCCCGUAACUUCGGGAGAAGGGGUGCUCUUUAGGGUUAACGCCCAGAAGAGCCGCAGUGAAUAGGCCCAAGCGACUGUUUAUCAAAAACACAGGUCUCUGCUAAACCGUAAGGUGAUGUAUAGGGGCUGACGCCUGCCCGGUGCUGGAAGGUUAAGAGGAGUGGUUAGCUUCUGCGAAGCUACGAAUCGAAGCCCCAGUAAACGGCGGCCGUAACUAUAACGGUCCUAAGGUAGCGAAAUUCCUUGUCGGGUAAGUUCCGACCCGCACGAAAGGCGUAACGAUUUGGGCACUGUCUCAACGAGAGACUCGGUGAAAUCAUAGUACCUGUGAAGAUGCAGGUUACCCGCGACAGGACGGAAAGACCCCGUGGAGCUUUACUGUAGCCUGAUAUUGAAAUUCGGCACAGCUUGUACAGGAUAGGUAGGAGCCUUUGAAACGUGAGCGCUAGCUUACGUGGAGGCGCUGGUGGGAUACUACCCUAGCUGUGUUGGCUUUCUAACCCGCACCACUUAUCGUGGUGGGAGACAGUGUCAGGCGGGCAGUUUGACUGGGGCGGUCGCCUCCUAAAAGGUAACGGAGGCGCUCAAAGGUUCCCUCAGAAUGGUUGGAAAUCAUUCAUAGAGUGUAAAGGCAUAAGGGAGCUUGACUGCGAGACCUACAAGUCGAGCAGGGUCGAAAGACGGACUUAGUGAUCCGGUGGUUCCGCAUGGAAGGGCCAUCGCUCAACGGAUAAAAGCUACCCCGGGGAUAACAGGCUUAUCUCCCCCAAGAGUUCACAUCGACGGGGAGGUUUGGCACCUCGAUGUCGGCUCAUCGCAUCCUGGGGCUGUAGUCGGUCCCAAGGGUUGGGCUGUUCGCCCAUUAAAGCGGUACGCGAGCUGGGUUCAGAACGUCGUGAGACAGUUCGGUCCCUAUCCGUCGUGGGCGUAGGAAAUUUGAGAGGAGCUGUCCUUAGUACGAGAGGACCGGGAUGGACAUACCUCUGGUGUACCAGUUGUCGUGCCAACGGCAUAGCUGGGUAGCUAUGUGUGGACGGGAUAAGUGCUGAAAGCAUCUAAGCAUGAAGCCCCCCUCAAGAUGAGAUUUCCCAACUUCGGUUAUAAGAUCCCUCAAAGAUGAUGAGGUUAAUAGAUUCGAGGUGGAAGCAUGGUGACAUGUGGAGCUGACGAAUACUAAUCGAUCGAAGACUUAAUCAA
rnacentral:rRNA from 1 species